UACAGAGGGUGCAAGCGUUAAUCGGAAUUACUGGGCGUAAAGCGUGCGUAGACGGUUAUGUAAGUUAGGUGUGAAAGCCCCGGGCUCAACCUGGGAAUUGCAUUCGAGACUGCGUAGCUAGGAUGCGGAAGAGGGAAGCGGAAUUUCCGGUGUAGCGGUGAAAUGCGUAGAUAUCGGAAGGAACACCAGUGGCGAAAGCGGCUUCCUGGUCCAGCAUCGACGUCCAGGCGCGAAAGCGUGGGGAGCAAACAGG
rnacentral:rRNA from 1 species